rnacentral:rRNA from 1 species
UACAGAGGGUGCAAGCGUUGUUCGGAAUUACUGGGCGUAAAGGGCGCGUAGGCGGCAAUUCAAGUCAUCUGUGAAAUCUCCGGGCUUAACUCGGAACGGUCAGAUGAUACUGCUUUGCUAGAGUACAGAAGGGGCAAUCGGAAUUCUUGGUGUAGCGGUGAAAUGCGUAGAUAUCAAGAGGAACACCUGAGGUGAAGACGGGUUGCUGGGCUGAUACUGACGCUGAGGCGCGAAAGCUAGGGUAGCAAACGGG